AAGACUAUAGACCUGCGGAGUACCUGCGGAGGGAUCAUUACUGAGUUUCACAACUCUCUAACCCUGUGUGAACUGAAGUCUGGUUGCUCAGGCAGGCGGCCCCCGGGGGGAGCCGCAGCUUCUCUGAAGCGCCUGCCGGAGGAUACCUAAACUCGUUUUAACAUAUAAUCUUCUGAGUAAUAAAAAAAAAUGAAUCAAAACUUUCAGCAAUGGAUCUCU
rnacentral:misc_RNA from 1 species